rnacentral:rRNA from 1 species
UUUAAUGAGAGUUUGAUCCUGGCUCAGGACGAACGCUGGCGGCGUGCCUAAUACAUGCAAGUAGAACGCUGAAGGAGGAGCUUGCUUCUCUGGAUGAGUUGCGAACGGGUGAGUAACGCGUAGGUAACCUGCCUGGUAGCGGGGGAUAACUAUUGGAAACGAUAGCUAAUACCGCAUAAGAGUAGAUGUUGCAUGACAUUUGCUUAAAAGGUGCACUUGCAUCACUACCAGAUGGACCUGCGUUGUAUUAGCUAGUUGGUGGGGU